GGAACCUUGCACACACUGACACCUGCCCUGGGGCCGUCCCCAGCCCACCCACAGUGGCCCAGAUGCAAACAUCAGCAAACACAUGCUGAAAAAGUCAAUGAGUUCCAACAUUACCAGGAUACAAAUUUCACUACCGAAACCAAGCAAGGAUUGCCCACAAAGCCUUUGGAAACAUUUCCUGGAUGAAUUAAUGUCUCUCCCAUGUAGGGCUGUAAGAGCUGAACAUCUGCAGUGCUGGAAGAUUCCAGCCCUUGAAGAAAUGACAGAGGACAUCAGUAUUGCCAUGCAAAGUGUGGCAAUUGAAACAUUGUGCAUUCUCAAGGCAGCAGAGCGGGCUCCGAUAUCCAAGUUCCAGAGACUGCAAGAUCAGCUGCACAGGGUGUGGAAGGCUCAGCCUCAUCUGUAACAUCUCAGCAGGCAGAGCUGCUGGAGCUCUGUGGACAAUUGAUCCCAGAGGCUCUUUUUGGUGCAGCCACCUGAGUACUCAGGAAUUUUGUUUUUCUUUUAGAAUG